UUUAUCUGCAAUUAAUUUCUUCAUCUCCUUUGCUCCGUCUCUAUAGGGUUUUCCUUCCUUUUCAACCAUAACAAACCUCAGCGACUCGGCCACCCAUUCCCUCCUAAAAGACCCAUCUUCAUCUUUUGUUACUUCUAUACCCACCUUCUUCUCUCCAAAAAUUCUUGCAAUUAACCCUUGGUCUAAAGAGAUUGGCAGCAUAAUCAAUGGAAGUUCAAAGUAAAGUGCCUCUAUAAUUGAAGCAUAACCA
rnacentral:misc_RNA from 1 species